AUAGUACUCCCGCCGUCCGAAAAAGUUUGUCCCUCAAAUGGAUGUAUCUAGUACCAAGUUAGUGCUAGAUACAUCCAUUUGAGGGACAAACUUUUUCAGACAGAGGGAGUAUAUU
rnacentral:pre_miRNA from 1 species